rnacentral:lncRNA from 1 species
UAUUGCUGCUAUUACAGUGUUCAAGAAUCUGUAAACUUUAGUUAUGCAGAGCUACAUAAGAAUUCAAGAGUCUUGAAGUACUAAUGUCUCCAUUUCUAGUAAUACUCCUUGUCUUUGAUCUAUUUUGUCUCAUAAUAAUAUAGCCACUCCAGCUUUUUUUCUUUUUUCUUUUAUCUUGAGGUGGGAAGACAAAGUCCAAAAAUCAACCGUAAGACCAACUAAUUAUACUUUAUAAAAACUUUAUUAUAGGCUGGGUGUGCCUGUAAUCCCAGCACUUUGAGAGGCCAAGGCGGGCAGAUCACUUGAUUUUAAUAUGCUGUUAACUAUUAUACUUCUAAGUCUACCCUGAUACGUAAGAGAAGGCUUCGAAGUCAAGCCAAUUCUUGGAAAACACACUGGAAUUUGCCAAGCAGGACAGAGGAGGAGGGCAUUCUAAGCAGAAAAUUCCAAAGGUAGGGAGUCAAAGAAA